rnacentral:rRNA from 1 species
UACGGAAGGUGCAAGCGUUGUUCGGAAUGACUGGGCGUAAAGCGCACGUAGGCGGUCUUGCAAGUCGGAUGUGAAAUCCCCAGGCUUAACCUGGGAACUGCACCCGAAACUGCUUGACUUGAAUGCUUGAGAGGUUGGUGGAAUUCCAGGUGUAGGAGUGAAAUCCGUAGAUAUCUGGAGGAACAUCGGAGGCGAAGGCGGCCAACUGGCGAUGCAUUGACGCUAAGGUGCGAAAGCGCGGGGAGCAAACAGG